rnacentral:lncRNA from 1 species
AUGUGCAAAAAAAGAAAUGAAUCUCGUCCAGCGACAGCCACCGCCAUCCGGCACAGCAGCAGGGCACAUGAUGUAUCCCCCAGACUGGCAGGUGGGACGGCAGGACCCAGUUUAGCUCACCAAGAAGUUCAACUUGCCGACACUGAACCUUCAGCAGCCAGGAGGAAGCAGGGGCCAACGGAAGGCAAAGGCUUUCGGAAGGUGAAUGUCUAUGCUACGUUUGUGUUUGAUGGCCACACUAGUGGCCUCAGAGACCACGCCCCAGGCUUCUGUGAAGUGUUUUCUAAGCACCAGAGACAUUUGGAGCCUCCUAGCACUGCUUUUCCUCGGAUGGGUCAUUAAUCUGAAGGCUGGCUUUCCCGUCUCUGGGCCUCCACAGCCCAGAACACCAUAGCUGGCCUUGGAGUUAGCAUCAGCCAUGAGCUCAUCAGGCUGGAGAUCACCUCCCUGAGGUUCUGGAUCUGACCCUCAUUGAUCUUCCAAGCAUCACCAGCGUGGCCGUGGGAAACCAGCCCCAGGACAUCAGACUGCAGGCAAGUCUUUCUAGAACUUGAGAAUGGGUCAAGCUGAAGUUCGGGAGACUUCUAGGUCUCUGCGGGCAGCAGCAGGGCUUCUGGUGUGCCUCCCCUGCCCUUGCACUGAGUGGUUGGGGAGGAGACUGGGGUAGCAGUGCCCAGGGCACGGGGCAGAGCUAUUAGGGCACACUAAUAGCUAUCACUCCCCAACACUCUCCAGUGUGGUUCCAUGUCCAUCAUCAUUAAAGCUUCCAAUGGCCAGGACACCUGGGUGUCUCAGUCAGUUAAGCGUUUGACUCUUGAUUUUGGCUCAGGUCAUGAUCUUGCAGUUGGUGAGUUCAAGCCCUGUGUCGGGCUCUGCGCUGACAGCAAGAGCCUGCUUGAGAUUCUCUCUCUCCCUCUUUCUCUCUGCCCAUCCCCCACUUGUGCUCAUCCCCUCAAAAUAAAGAAAUUAACUUACAAAUAAAAGCA